GAUAACAGGCUGAUGACUCCCAAGAGCUCUUAUCGACGGAGUUGUUUGGCACCUCGAUGUCGACUCAUCACAUCCUGGGGUUGAAGAAGGUCCCAAGGGUUCGGUCUCUUAGUUGAGGAGUGGUGGCAUGGGAUCUCUAAUUC
rfam:Oryza sativa Japonica Group DNA, chromosome 6, cultivar: Nipponbare, complete sequence.